ensembl:lncRNA
CUUCAGCUCUGAAGUACAGUUAGCAACAUACAUACAGAAAGAGAGACAGCACUUCCUUUGAUCUGUCUUUCAAUUGAUGAAAUCUUUUCAAAGAAUCAUAGAAUCACAGACUAUCCUGAGAUGCAAAGGACCCACAAGAAGGGUACUGAGUAUCGUGUAUCACGCAUGCUGCAACAUCUGACCCACAGAUCACAUCUAACAUCAGGAGUCCUCAAAAUAAGGUCUGGCCUUUAACUCUGUUGUAUUCCUCAGGAAGCACAUUGCCAGCUUCCCAGGCCUGUUAGAGUGUUUCCCAGAACUAAUAAUUCUGGACUGGAACCCCUCCUUAAUAAGGAUUAAAAGAAGAACUCACAAAUCCUUCUUUUAUUUUCAGGACUGCUGGAGGGGAAGCUAAGGAAGAAAACCAGAAGCCUAAAGCCGACCAUGGGAAUGAUCAGAAUUCAUCUUGCAGAAGAGUCUAAGAAUUACGGACAUCACUUUCAUGUUAUCUCUUGACUGCCCCCUGAGACAAGCCCCUGUGAUCAUGUGCAUGAGCUUCAAAGGUAUUG